UUUGCAAUGGGAACGGCAAUGAUGAGCGUGUUUCUUCUUUGUUUGCUUGCUUCUUUGAUAGUUAGUUCAGACGCGUACGCGGGCGCCAGCCGGGUAGUUGUUGGCCGUAAGCGUGGGUCUAUUAUAAAAAGACUGUUCCACAAGGGAAAUGUCCGCCGAUCAUCCACACCCGAUGGCAUCAAAAAACGACAGGCAUGUUACUUGUAUCGAGAUGAAAGAUUUGGUGAUUUCAAUAUCUGUUGGUGACACAAUGCAAGCACGAUAGAAAUGCAAUAUACAGCACAGAAGAGACAUGCAACAAAGUCAUUGCUAGUGAAUUUAAGUUUCUGAUCAUAGAAAUUAUGCAGAACACAUCGAGAUGAGAUUUUCAGUAUUGUAAAGCGAUAUUAUUAUAACGCUAUUGAAUUAUAUAGGGAAUACAAUUUGAUUUGUAAGAAUCCGAAGAAAUUAAGAAGUCAAUGAAAUAAAACACUUUGAAACUGA